UCNAGGCCCUACGGGGCGCAGCAGGCGCGAAACCUCCGCAAUGCACGCAAGUGCGACGGGGGAACCCCAAGUGCCACUCUUAACGGGGUGGCUUUUCAGAAGUGUAAAAAGCUUCUGGAAUAAGGGCUGGGCAAGACCGGUGCCAGCCGCCGCGGUAACACCGGCAGCUCAAGUGGUAGCCGCUUUUAUUGGGCCUAAAGCGUCCGUAGCCGGUCUGAUAAGUCUCUGGUGAAAUCCCGCAGCUUAACUGUGGGAAUUGCUGGAGAUACUAUCAUGACUCGAGGUCGGGAGAGGCUGGAGGUACUCCCAGGGUAGGGGUGAAAUCCUGUAAUCCUGGGAGGACCACCUGUGGCGGAGGCGUCCAGCUGGAACGAACCUGACGGUGAGGGACGAAAGCCAGGGGCGCGAACCGGAUUAGAUACCCGGGUAGUCCUGGCCGUAAACGAUGUGGACUUGGUGUUGGGAUGGCUUCGAGCUGCCCCAGUGCCGAAGGGAAGCUGUUAAGUCCACCGCCUGGGAAGUACGGCCGCAAGGCUGAACCUUAAAGGAAUUGGCGGGGGAGCACCACAACGCGUGGAGCCUGCGGUUUAAUUGGAUUCAACGCCGGG
rnacentral:rRNA from 1 species